rnacentral:rRNA from 1 species
GCAGCAGUGGGGAAUUUUGGACAAUGGACGCAAGUCUGAUCCAGCCAUGCCGCGUGCGGGAAGAAGGCCUUCGGGUUGUAAACCGCUUUUGUCAGGGAAGAAAUCUUCUGAAUUAAUACCUCGGGAGGAUGACGGUACCUGAAGAAUAAGCACCGGCUAACUACGUGCCAGCAGCCGCGGUAAUACGUAGGGUGCAAGCGUUAAUCGGAAUCACUGGGCGUAAAGGGCGCGUAGGUGGCUUGGUAAGCGUGCGGUGAAAGCUCGAGGCUCAACCUCGAGUCUGCCGUGCGAACUGCCGAGCUGGAGCACGGUAGAGGCACAUGGAAUUCCGGGUGUAGCGGUGGAAUGCGUAGAGAUCCGGAAGAACACCGGUGGCGAAGGCGGUGUGCUGGGCCGUAGCUGACACUGAGGCGCGACAGCGUGGGGAGCAAACAGGAUUAGAUACCCUGGUAGUCCACGCCGUAAACGAUGGGCACU